AUUGAACGCUGGCGGCAGGCCUAACACAUGCAAGUCGAGCGAGCGGCGGACGGGUGAGUAAUGUCUGGGAAACUGCCUGAUGGAGGGGGAUAACUACUGGAAACGGUAGCUAAUACCGCAUACCAUCAGAUGUGCCCAGAGGGGAUUAGCUAGUGGGUGGGGUAAUGGAUCACCAAGGCGACGAUCCCUAGCUGGUCUGAGAGGAUGACCAGCCACACUGGGACUGAGACACGGUCCAGACUCCUACGGGAGGCAGCAGUGGGGAAUAUUCCACAAUGGGCGAAAGCCUGAUGCAGCCAUGCCGCGUGUGUGAAGAAGGCCUUCGGGUUGUAAAGCACUUUCGGCGAGGAGGCGUUACUCGCAGAGGAAGCACCGGCUAACUCCGUGCCAGCAGCCGCGGUAAUUC
rnacentral:rRNA from 1 species